AGGAUGAACGCUGGCGGCGUGCUUAACACAUGCAAGUCGAACGAUGAUGCCAGCUUGCUGGUGGAUUAGUGGCGAACGGGUGAGUAACACGUGAGUAACCUGCCCUUAACUCUGGGAUAAGCCUGGGAAACUGGGUCUAAUACCGGAUAUGACUCCUCAUCGCAUGGUGGGGGGUGGAAAGCUUUAUUGUGGUUUUGGAUGGACUCGCGGCCUAUCAGCUUGUUGGUGAGGUAAUGGCUCACCAAGGCGACGACGGGUAGCCGGCCUGAGAGGGUGACCGGCCACACUGGGACUGAGACACGGCCCAGACUCCUACGGGAGGCAGCAGUGGGGAAUAUUGCACAAUGGGCGAAAGCCUGAUGCAGCGACGCCGCGUGAGGGAUGACGGCCUGGUUGUAACUCUUCAGUAGGAAGAAGCGAAAGUGACGUACCUGCAGAAGAAGCGCCGGCUAACUACGUGCCAGCAGCCGC
rnacentral:rRNA from 1 species